UACGAAGGGGGCAAGCGUUGUUCGGAAUUACUGGGCGUAAAGGGCGCGUAGGCGGCUUAUCAAGUCAGGCGUGAAAUUCCCGGGCUCAACCUGGGGGCUGCGCUUGAUACUGAUGAGCUUGAAUGCGGGAGAGGAUAGUGGAAUUCCCAGUGUAGAGGUGAAAUUCGUAGAUAUUGGGAAGAACACCGGUGGCGAAGGCGGCUAUCUGGACCAGCACUGACACUGAGGCACGAAAGCGUGGGGAGCAAACAGG
rnacentral:rRNA from 1 species